rnacentral:rRNA from 1 species
UACCAGCUCUUCGAGUGGUGUGGAUGUUUAUUGGGCCUAAAGCAUCCGUAGCUGGCUGGGCAAGUCCCCUGUUAAAUCCACCGAUUUAAUCGUUGGAGUGCGGGGGAUACUGUUCGGCUAGGGGACGGGAGAGGCAGACGGUAUUUUCGGGGUAGGGGUGAAAUCCUAUAAUCCCGGGAAGACCACCAGUGGCGAAGGCUGUCUGCUAGAACGCGCCCGACGGUGAGGGAUGAAAGCUGGGGGAGCGAACCGGAUUAGAUACCCGGGUAGUCCCAGCUGUAAACGAUGCAGGCUAGGUGUUUGGGCGGCCACGUGCCGCUCUAGUGCCGCAGGGAAGCCGUUAAGCCUGCCGCCUGGGGAGUACGGCCGCAAGGCUGAAACUUAAAGGAAUUGGGCGGGGGAGCACCACGAAGGGGUGAAGCUUGCGGUUU